GAUGAACGCUGGCGGCGUGCUUAACACAUGCAAGUCGAGCGAGAAAUUUUCAAUUGAAUCUUCGGAUGAUAUUGAAGGUGGAAAGCGGCGGACGGGUGAGUAACGCGUGGGUAACCUGCCUUAUACAGGGGGAUAACAUAUUGAAAAGUAUGCUAAUACCGCAUAAGCGCACAGUAUCGCAUGGUACAGUGUGAAAAACUCUGGUAGUAUAAGAUGGACCCGCGUCUGAUUAGCUAGUUGGUAAGGUAACGGCUUACCAAGGCGACGAUCAGUAGCCGGCCUGAGAGGGUGAACGGCCACAUUGGGACUGAGACACGGCCCAAACUCCUACGGGAGGCAGCAGUGGGGAAUAUUGCACAAUGGGGGAAACCCUGAUGCAGCGACGCCGCGUGAAGGAAGAAGGUUCUCGGAUCGUAAACUUCUAUCAGCAGGGAAUAAAAUGAAGGUACCUGACUAAGAAGCCCCGGCUAACUACGUG
rnacentral:rRNA from 1 species